CCAGCACCCACACUGCCUUCCGUAAACACUGAGCUAAACCUAGAGCCUCGGUGAUGAGAUCAGCACUGCCUUUGUAAGUUGGUUUUCUCAACAAACAUCAACUGAACAUCUACUAAGCAUAAGGUAGAACAAAGGCAGUCAAGGGUGCGAGGAUAUUGGAAGCUGUAUUCUGUGAGCGUUCAUGAAGGCUGUGGAAGGAUCCAGGCAGGAUGGCCUCAAAUUAAGAUUUUAAUGACUCUUUGGUUUAGAAAACACACUCUUAUUGUUAACACUAUCUUAUCAGGUAUCAUUUUUGAAUUCACAGAUGAAAGCUAAAAAAUUCAUAAUUA